UGGGUCGGCUGGACGGUCGCGUCACGGGUUCGCCCGUGCCGAGGAACGUCCGGGCUCCACAGGGCAGGACGGUGGGUAACGCCCACCCGGAGCAAUCCGCGAGACAGUGCCACAGAGAGCAGACCGCCCGCGCUUCACCGCGUGGGUAAGGGUGAAAGGGUGGUGUAAGAGACCACCGGGGUCGUGGUGACACGACCCGCGAGGUAAACCUCGUCCGGAGCAAGGCCAGACAGGGGAUGACGACGCGGCUCGCCGAGUCCCCGGGUAGGCCGCUGGAGCGGCACGGCAACGUGUCGCCGAGAGAGAUGACCGUCCACGGAGACGUCCCGCUCGUCGGGACAUCUCCCGGACAGAACCCGGCGUACAGGCCGGCCCAUUCG
rnacentral:RNase_P_RNA from 1 species